UACGAAGGGGGCUAGCGUUGCUCGGAAUGACUGGGCGUAAAGGGCGUGUAGGCGGUUUUGACAGUCAGAUGUGAAAUCCCCGGGCUUAACCUGGGAGCUGCAUUUGAGACGUUAAGACUAGAGUGUGAGAGAGGGUUGUGGAAUUCCCAGUGUAGAGGUGAAAUUCGUAGAUAUUGGGAAGAACACCGGUGGCGAAGGCGGCAACCUGGCUCAUUACUGACGCUGAGGCGCGAAAGCGUGGGGAGCAAAACAGG
rnacentral:rRNA from 1 species